rnacentral:rRNA from 1 species
UACGUAGGCAGCAAGCGUUGUUCGGAAUUACUGGGCGUAAAGAGUGUGUAGGCGGUGUCGUAAGUUUGGUGUGAAAUCUCCCGGCUUAACUGGGAGGGUGCGCCGAAGACUGCGAUGCUCGAGGUUGGGAGAGGUAAGCGGAAUUCCUGGUGUAGCGGUGAAAUGCGUAGAUAUCAGGAGGAACACCUGCGGUGUAGACGGCUUACUGGACCACACCUGACGCUGAGACACGAAAGCGUGGGUAGCAAACAGG